GGAUACUUGAAGAAAGCUCUGACAGUUUUCUCUCUUCCACGUGAAACACUCUUAGUUCAUUUAGCUAAUCUUCAUACGAUAGAAUGAAGAAGCAGUGCUAGUAGUAGAGGACGCUUGGGAAGACUUGGUGUGGGGCCUCAGUUUAAUCCUGAAACUUCCAAAGGAGUGAUGGAGGGCACUAGUAGUCCCAGAUGGAACUUCCCUUCACUUUGAUGUUGCUUAACCCAAACAGCAGGUCUACUGGAUUUUGUGCUGUCUAUAAGUGAGUGCACAUUCCAUGUGUCAAUGAUGGGAGGCUGCCUGGAGAUAUCAAGAUAUAUUUUAACCCAAAACACAUGGAUUUACAAGGUGCUUUUAGAAUUAUUUUAAAUGAUUCCCAAAGGAUAUAAAAUCAGCCUUUGAAAACCAUGCAUUUUUGGAGAAAAUAUAAACUGACCCGCCCUCCAUUGGCAGAAGAAUCCUGUGAUGAACAUCACAAGCACUGUACAUGCUGGGACAUCACCAGACUAGAAAGGUGGAAGGUCUGAAUUUUAUGACCUGAAUAAAGAGGAAAAAAUAAGUAUUAAGUUAUAGCUCUUACCUUUCAGCCUAGUCAGCAUAUCUUUUA